GAUGAACGCUGGCGGCGUGCCUAAUACAUGCAAGUCGAACGCACAGCGAAAGGUGCUUGCACCUUUCAAGUGAGUGGCGAACGGGUGAGUAACACGUGGACAACCUGCCUCAAGGCUGGGGAUAACAUUUGGAAACAGAUGACUAACUAACCGAAAUAAACUCAGUGUCGCAUGACAACUAAAAAGGUUAAAAGGCGUCGUUUGGCGUCCACCUAGAGAUGGACUCCGGCGG
rnacentral:rRNA from 1 species